GACGAACGCUGGCGGCGUGCUUAACACAUGCAAGUCGAACGGUGAAGCGCCUUCCUUUUUGGUGGGUGUGGAUGAGUGGCGAACGGGUGAGUAACGCGUGAGUAACCUGCCCCCUUCUUCUGGAUAACCGCAUGAAAGUGUGGCUAAUACGGGAUAUUCUGGGUCUGUCGCAUGAUGGGUCUGGGAAAGAUAUUGUUUCGGUGGGGGAUGGGCUCGCGGCCUAUCAGCUUGUUGGUGGGGUGAUGGCCUACCAAGGCGGUGACGGGUAGCCGGCCUGAGAGGGUGGACGGUCACACUGGGACUGAGACACGGCCCAGACUCCUACGGGAGGCAGCAGUGGGGAAUAUUGCACAAUGGGCGCAAGCCUGAUGCAGCGACGCCGCGUGAGGGAUGGAGGCCUUCGGGUUGUGAACCUCUUUCGCCAGUGAAGCAGGCCUGCCUCGUUUGUGGGUGGGUUGACUGUAGCUGGAUAAGAAGCGCCGGCUAACUACGUG
rnacentral:rRNA from 1 species